UGAAAGUGAAAAUCAGUUUGUUUUUAAAUACAUCUGAACCACCAAUGUAGCACAGAACCCAUAGUUCAAGUGUUUUAGGCUUAGGUAGGUGUAACUCAUCGGUUAUGAGAACUAUAUUAACGUAACCGAUUAUUCGGUUACCUAAGUAAAACUCACGUGAGCUUACUUCCGGGUACCUUAGAUUUUGAAAUAUUGUCCCCUGCACUAGGCCAACAAUGGCAACAGAAAAACACCAAAUGUUUCAUAAAUAGGAUACUAUAAGAGUGUCCAUGACGGACAAUGUUUAUGACACAAAUUAUCAUAUUUCCCCGAGCCAGAGCAGGACAAAAAUGAUAAUUUAGACUAGAAUGUCACAAACAAUUUUAACAUUGUCUGUCAUGGACACGAAUGUAAUAUUCUGUUUAUUACUGUUACAGUAGUAUUUUUUACAACACCCAUUAAUUGAAAUAAUGGGGUCAAGGAGGUAGGUGCAAAAUAAUUGUCUGGGCACAGGAUUGAUAUGGAUGAUGGAGAACAGAAAGAGGAAUGGCCGCAAGAGACCUAUUAUUGUUUUAAGUUUGGCAAGAAGUGCGCAAGGUAAGCUCUUAUGGCAAUUUUUGUUUUGUUUAAAUAGAAGUUCUGCAGUAAGAAAAGAUUAAUUUCAAGGUAGCGGAAGUAAAACGGGUGAUAAACAAACAAAAACACUAAUAAGGAUACAAAAUGUUUAUUAUUAUUAACACUAGUAUGUUUGGUUAAAAUAUUUUAACGCUUCAAUUGAACAUGCAUUUCACCAACAAUCAACGCAUAGCAACUUUGAAAAACACCCAUGCAUUUACAACAUUUGUGUUCUUGGUAUGAAAUACUAUAAUAGAAACGGCAUCAGAAACCGUAGCAAACACAAGGUUUUGAAUUCAAUAACAAAAUUCCUUAGAAUUAAAUGUCUCACCUAUACCAUAAACGUUUUCAAUGCUCUGUGAUGAACAUUCAUAGGAUGCAACUAGAAACCUAUUUUCAUUGAUCUAGGACUUAAAGUUUGGGGGGGGGGAGGGGGAGGGACAUAGCUCAGUGGUAUACUAUAGUGAAUAGUGUUCGCCUGAUGUGUGGUCGGUCUAGGAUCAAUCCCAGUCGGUGGGCACAUUGGGCUAUUUCCCGUUCCAGUCACUGUACCAUGACUGUUUUAUGUGCUAUCCUGUCUUGUCGGAUUGUGCAUAUAAACGAUCCCUUGUUACUAAUGGAAAAAUGUAGCACAUUUCCUUUCUAACUCUUAAGACUAAAUGACAAAAUUACCAAAUGUUUGACACCUAAUAGCUGAUGAUUAAUAAAUCAAUGUGCUCUAGAGGUGUCAUUAAACAAAAGAAACUUUAACUUUAAUCAUCGCUGUUAGAAAAGUCUUGUAAAGGGGAGACAAUAAUUGUCAGAAACCUAAACAAACUGCCAUUACAUGCAAAUAUCCAUAAAUAAUUUUGAUGAAGGUUUAUCAUUUGGUGGUCUUGUUGUGAAAACCUAUCAUGUACACAGAUAUGUCAAGUUUGUUUCAAAGAAAACAAUGGGAAUAUUUAGAGAAUAAUAACAAGGUACGAGGAAUUACGGAUUAUCCGUGUUGUAAACAUUCAUUCAUGAGGGUCAAAUAAUCUUAACUCCUCAUAUCGAGUUGGUUAUUUUCUUUAUUACCUACUGACAUUUUGAUCUCGUUUUUAAUGUAAAAUCUCUCUGUAAUGUAGAUAGCCAUCAGCCAUUAUGUUACAUAACCAUUACAUGAUGUUAUGUGACAUCAUAGCGUAACAGUGUUCUUUUACAGUCAAAUAUUUACAGUACAAAAUAAUACGACUGGUUGCAUUUGAAAAUAAUGAUGUUUCUAUGUCAUUAAAGCUCUUUCUUAUGAAAAUAUACCAUUUCAUGUUUAUAAAACAAAAAAUUAGUAAAACAUGUUCUGUUGAUCGUAUAACAUGUGUAAUCUGACUGAUGAAUAAAAACAUUAAAUCAAUGACGUUCUGGCCGUUACAAACAACCAACCAAAUGUCAUCAUUUUAAAACUAGGCAAUUAGAAGCAAUCUGCACACUGUACAAUUAUCAAACAAAUAUUACCCUAGAUAUUUUAGCCCAUAUGGGCAAUAAAUUAAUCUAUUUAUUGCAUUUCUUAAUGUGUCAAUACUCGAGAAGUCAAAUGCAGAAAAAUUUGCAAAAGAUAGAAACACAAAUUUGAAUCAUCAAAAUAUGUUUACAAAAUAAUGAAUAUUCACCAGUGGUUUAUUUCUGAUGAAUGAGGCACUUGACUUUCUUUCUGAUAAUUUUCUCCAACAUAAUACAUAAUAAUCUAUAUGCCACUGACCAACUUAACAUUAUUACCUGGUCAUACAAAGUCCUACAUUAUGUUCCUAUCAAUCAGAAUAUUUGUUGACCAAUAAUUACAUAAUUAUUGCAUUAAAUAAGAGAGGGUAUACCAUGUUAUAUGAACAGGAUUUAAAGUCACUGACCUUAGAUACCGUUUCUAUUUUGCAUGUAAUGCAGAUAGGGCUAUUACAAACACCAGAUUAAAUAAAAACAUGUUAGAUUUGCUGAAAUUAAUAAUUAAAGCAAGAUUUAAUUAAUGUGUACUUUAAU
rnacentral:lncRNA from 1 species